UUUUUAUAAUAAGUAUUUUCUGCCCGGUGUAAUUUAUAAACGGCCGCGGUAUUUUGACCGUGCAAAGGUAGCAUAAUCAUUUGUUCUUUAAUUGGGGACUGGAAUGAAAGAAAUUUUGAGGGCCUUGCUGUCUCUUUUUUAUUUUAAAAAUUGUUGUUUUUGUGAAGAAACAAAAGUAAUCAAAAAAGACAAGAAGACCCUAUUAAGCUUUACUUUUAUAUUUAUCUAUUUUUUUCUUUUAAGGAGUUCUUUAGAGUUUAUAAAUUUGGUUGGGGUGACUAAAGAAGAUAAAAAUCUUCUUUUAUUAAUAAACUAUAUGUUUAAAAAUGACCCGAAAUUUCUUGGUUUAAAGAAUUAGUUACUAUAGGGAUAACAGCGUAAUUUUUUCAAAGAGUUCUUAUUGAAGAAAAAGAUUGCGACCUCGAUGUUGACUUGUUAUAUCCUAUAAAGGUGUAGCCGCUGUUAGGGUUAGA
rnacentral:rRNA from 1 species